rnacentral:rRNA from 1 species
AGUUGACGACCUCCGGCGUAAAGAGUGGUUAAGAGAGCCCCAUACUAAAGCCAAAUGACUUCAAAGCUGUCAUACGCACACGAAAGUACGAAGCCCGAUUACGAAAGUGGCUUUAAACCCCUGACUCCACGAAAGCUAUGAUACAAACUGGGAUUAGAUACCCCACUAUGCCUAGCCUUAAACAUUGAUAAUACUCUACUCAUUUUAUCCGCCCGGGUACUACGAGCAUCAGCUUGAAACCCAAAGGACUUGGCGGUGCUUUAGAUCCACCUAGAGGAGCCUGUUCUAGAACCGAUAAUCCCCGUUAAACCUCACCUUUCCUUGCCUAAUCCGCCUAUAUACCGCCGUCGUCAGCUUACUCUGUGAAGAAUAAAUAGUAAGCACAACUGGUAAAACCUAAAACGCCAGGUCGAGGUGUAGCGUAUGGAAAGGGAAGAAAUGGGCUACAUUCAGUAAUUGUAAUGAAUAACGAAUGACAUCCUGAAAAAAUGUCUGAAGGAGGAUUUAGUAGUAAGCAGAAAAUAGAGUGCUCUGCUGAAAUUGGCCCUGAAGCGCGUACACACCGCCCGUCACUCUCCCCGAGCUAAAUUUCCUUCAUUUCUAAUUAGCCAAAAC